ensembl:lncRNA
AUGGACGCACCUCAGACGGUGAUUUGUUUUGCUGUCAACAUACUCGGAAACGACUCCCUGCUGCUGUUGCUGCCUGCUGGUGGAGGAGAGACGCUCUCCUUAUUGAUGGUGUUGAUACCUGCUGCAGCCAUAUGCUCAGUUUUGCUGCUUCUGUUGGUCUUUUACUGCUGCUGCUGCUGCUACCGAAAAAGAGCUAAAAAAGAAAUUCUAAACCAUGACCCAGUCAUGUACCCUGGAGGAACGGGAAUUUCUCCGGACCAAAUGUCGCUUUACAUCAACUGCACAGAAGUGACUCAUAUCUACACCAAUGGAAGCUACCAGCUUGUUUACCAGAACUCCACACCUCUCUUUGUCCACACCAAGCAGGUAUGUCCAAUGGGCAGAAGAGGGGGGGAAAGAAGAAGAAGACGACGACAAACAAGGAGAAGAGGAGGAGCAGGAGGAGAUGUGGGUGUAGACAGAAUUGGUGGUUUGGGAGUCAGAGAAGUAAGAGAGGAAGAUGAUAGAGCUGUGGCAGAUGCAGAGACAGCCAUCUACCUGGAAGUCCUCUGAGCAGAUAUGAGUUGACUUCUACAUUAUUUUGCAGCUCGCUCUCAUUGUGAUAUUCACUGUUUGCCUUGCUUUUCCAGCCUGUACUUACUGAAUAUUUGAAUUUGAAUUUAUUAAAGGAUAGCCCCUUGAGAUGCAACAUGUAAUUUUCGAGGGGUUCCAAGAGACACAUACAGAAAUAUAAAACAUAAAAGACAACAUUUGCUACAUAGUAAGACAUACAAACAUUGCAAUACAUUACAAAACAAUACAGCACAAUGUGGUACAAUAAAGACAUUACAUUUCAUUAAAACAAAAUACAAACAACUAAUUUACCCUCAUCAAUCUCAUCCACAUAUCUCAUAUAUUACAGUAUACGACACAAACAAAGUUGAAUUGGUGAAUGAUUUAAAGACAUGAGCAGUUUGAGAUGGUUGAAAAGAAAUGUCUUGAAACAGUGAAAGGAGGAGAUUGAUCUGAGCAAUAGUGGAAGAUCAAGUCAGAUGGAGAUUUGGAUUGUUGCAGCCAAUUUCUUUCGAAAUGUUGUGUACAGAAUAGAAGGGAUAUCGCAAAUAUCUCAGAGGAUAUGAUGAUCUGAAAAUAUAGAUGAUCUGAAAAUAAGACAAAUAAUUAAAAUAAAUACCUUUUUUUUUUUUUUUUCAAAGAAUCCAGUGAAAAUGUCUUCUGGGUUUGGGCUGUAGCCAGUUAAGUGAAUUGUUCAGAACGCAGUAGUGACUUUCGGAAGGGACACUCAAAACCAACCUACAUAAUGAAUUAAAAACAACAUUAAGUGAUUUGAGGUCGGUAGCAUAGGAGUUUUAAUAAAUGAUAUCGGCGUAGUCUAUGAUGGUUGAUAAUCCUUUUUCUGAUUGGGAAUGUAAAACAGUUAAUUGAACAAUUUAGUGAAGACAAAAUUAGAGUUAAUGGAAUGUUAAAGGAAUGUUGGAUUUAAGCUAUAUUGUAAUUGAAAGUAUAAAUAACAGUAUAAGCUGCAUAAAAUACCAUAAUUACCUAAAUGAGGUAGAUUACUGAAAAAAAAUGGGGGGUGGGGGGUGUGGUACCAGGGUAGAACCCUGUGGAACACCUUUAUCAACAACCAACUACUUAGACUGAGAAACAUGAAAAGAAACACAUUGGCUUCUAUUGUGGAGAUAUGCUAGAUAGAAAACAAUUUAUACGUAGAUAGUGGUCAACCAUAUCAAAAACUUUAAAUAAGCAAAUAAAACUUCCACCUGUAAGUUGGCCUCUAUUGAAGGAGACAAAGAUGUAAUUUGUACAUUUUAAAAGAGCUGUUGUGAUGGAGACAUUUGAUCUAACACCAGAAUGGAAUGGGGAUAAAAUAUUGAAAUCCUUUGUUAGGAGCAGCAGACACAAACAACUCGGCAAAAACGCAAGUGAGAACCAGUGCUUUAAAGCCGGAGGCAGGUGAAGAUGAUUGUCUGGUGAUGUGAUUCAGGUGUGCCUGAGAGCCGCCCUGCCUGACCUGAAACUAGACAGCCAACAGAAAACAGAAGGGAGGGGGAGAGGGCACACACCAGGGAAAACUACUUGACAUAAUGUGAAAAUAUACUGAUCAUUACUAUACUGAUUAAAUAAUUAAGAAGACCAGUUUUUACAUACCAUAUACAGACUUUUGAUUUAACAUUAAGACAAAUGCAUUCUUAAAGGUACCGUAUUAUAAAGCCAGAAGUCAAUCAAGAUGGCUGAAAAUUGAUGGUGUCCUUUUAAUUUUCCAAUGUUAAAAUAACGACAGAAAUUUAAGAUCUAAUUCAUCUAUAUUAUUGUGGUAACCUGUUAUAUAGAUGGGAAGCUGUUUUUCAGUGUCCAUGUGGGUAUUCUUGUCAUAGCAGAUUAAUGACUGCAGAUGUGUUGCUUUAUAAUAUGAGAUGAGAUCUUCCCUGCAGCCACAAAGGUAAAAGCUUUAGCAUGCAUCCCAACAGUGCCAUUUCAGGGUUCUUGUGUAAAAGCAGCAAAGACAAUAAUGUCUCCAGAACAAAUAAACUUAUGUUGACUUCUCAUCUGUUUUGUUGUGCGUGUGCAUGCUUGUGAAUGUGUAUUCAUUUUACAGUUAUUUUCUAACCCAUGUAUACAUUUGUGCAUACGUAUACUUUAUAUGUAUACACAUUCGUAUGCAUAUACAGAUAUGUAUGGUUUACAUGUUAUUUUUACUAUUGUAAAAUAGCAUUUUUAUACGUAGUUACACUCUCCUACCGAC